UUCAUUCUAAUGAGAAAGUCGCUCCGAAUGGGCGAGGCCUCAUUCGCUCUGCCUCCGAGAGGCAGGGACCGGCCGAGGGCCCGAUGGGAACGCAAUGAAUGAAUGAAUCUCCAUAAAGAGCCCCGAGCGGGAGUUAGAGAGCGGAGGAGGCAGAGCGGGCAGCAAACCUGGGCUGGCGGGGAGCGCAGUGAAGAACAAAAGCCGGGUGACCCACUGAAUGACUGGUUCCUUGGCCAGGACAUGUCUGUCUCCUCUUCACAUCCCUCCACUGGUUUCUUCUCUUCUUCCACAUCAUCUGGUUCCAGCACCUCAUCUCCUGUUCAAGGCCCUGCGCUACUCUUUUGCUUAUGGGUAUGUCUAGACUGCAAAAAAAAGUGUGUUCUAACUGGGCUUAGCUCACCCAUAUUCGCUACCUGGAGUUAAAAUAGCAGUGAAGACAGAGCAACUGGGCUUUUGAUUUGGGUUAGAAGCUUGAGUUUGACCCCAGCUGCCCUAUAGACUUGAACUCCUGCUGCUAACCCGAGUUUAGAACAUAGCUUUUUUUCAGUGUAGUCAUACUCAGACCCUCUAUCUCUGCCUUUGUAUCUCCCACCUCCCCUUCUUGCCCUUUUUGCUCUGCCCAGUUCCCUCUCUUUGUGUUCUCCUCCUACUGCUGGCCUGCACGGCUCUCUGCAUUCAGAUCCCUCCUCCUUAAAAUUCAGGUCUUCUACCAAGCCCAUCAAUGCCUGCCCGCCUCAGUAAACAGGCUCUGAUGGACCUAAUAGACAAAACAAAGCAACUUGCUGUGCUCUAAGAGGUCACCCUCCCUCCUCUCCCCUCCUCCCCUGUGUCAUUUUGUGUCUGAAAUGGUUUGUCUGACUAACUAGCAUACACUCCCGAGCGGCACUGACUGAGAGGCUGAGUGCCCUCAGCUCCCACGGAGUUCAGUGGGAGAUGAGGGUGCUUGGCGUCACUCAAAAAAUGAUGCUCAACAUCUUGCAUCGUUGAUUUCAAUGGGAGUUGCAGAUUCUCAUUAGGAGCUUAGUCCCCUAAAGGGGGGACCCUUUGUGCCCAAUCCUGAGAGGUGCUGAGCACCCUGAAGUCAAUGGGGGUUGAUGUUGCCCACCACCCGGUUGGAGGUGUUCCGAACGUCACAGGGUUCGGUCCUUCGGUGUGGGCAGGGACUGUGUCAUCCACCAUGGUCUGUAUGGCAUUGAGCAUUCUGUUGGCAUUUAAUUACGAUGAUUCUUUUUAUUUGUUUCUGGGGAGCUGUUGGUGAUGCAGGCUGAUGAGAUGCAAAUUUUAUGGCAGAGAAAGCUUUUAUAUUAAGCAAACUCCUGAAUUCAAAAGUGAACCAACAAGGUACAAUAAAUGGGCCAAAUUCUUUCUGCCA
rnacentral:lncRNA from 1 species